CACGUAGGGGGCGAGCGUUGUCCGGAUUCAUUGGGCGUAAAGAGCUCGUAGGCGGCUUGGCAAGUCGGGUGUGAAAACUCCAGGCUCAACCUGGAGACGCCACCCGAUACUGCCAUGGCUUGAGUCCGGUAGGGGACCACGGAAUUCCUGGUGUAGCGGUGAAAUGCGCAGAUAUCAGGAGGAACACCAAUGGCGAAGGCAGCUCGCUGGGACGGUACUGACGCUGAGACGCGAAAGCGUGGGGAGCAAACAGG
rnacentral:rRNA from 1 species